rnacentral:rRNA from 1 species
UUUGGGAUAACCCCGGGAAACCGGGGCUAAUACCGAAUAUGACCUUGCACCGCAUGGUGUUUGGUGGAAAGUUUUUCGGCUUGGGAUGGGCUCGCGGCCUAUCAGCUUGUUGGUGGGGUGAUGGCCUACCAAGGCGACGACGGGUAGCCGGCCUGAGAGGGCGACCGGCCACACUGGGACUGAGACACGGCCCAGACUCCUACGGGAGGCAGCAGUGGGGAAUAUUGCACAAUGGGCGGAAGCCUGAUGCAGCGACGCCGCGUGAGGGAUGACGGCCUUCGGGUUGUAAACCUCUUUCAGCAGGGACGAAGCGUAAGUGACGGUACCUGCAGAAGAAGCGCCGGCCAACUACGUGCCAGCAGCCGCGGUAAGACGUAGGGCGCGAGCGUUGUCCGGAUUUAUUGGGCGUAAAGAGCUCGUAGGCGGCUUGUCGCGUCGACCGUGAAAACCUGGGGCUCAACCCCAGGCCUGCGGUCGAUACGGGCAGGCUAGAGUUCGGUAGGGGAGACUGGAAUUCCUGGUGUAGCGGUGAAAUGCGCAGAUAUCAGGAGGAACACCGGUGGCGAAGGCGGGUCUCUGGGCCGAUACUGACGCUGAGGAGCGAAAGCGUGGGGAGCGAACAGGAUUAGAUACCCUGGUAGUCCACGCUGUAAACGUUGGGCGCUAGGUGUGGGGGGCCUCUCCGGUUCCCUGUGCCGCAGCUAACGCAUUAAGCGCCCCGCCUGGGGAGUACGGCCGCAAGGCUAAAACU